rnacentral:rRNA from 1 species
UACGGAAGGCAGCAGUGGGGAAUAUUGCACAAUGGGCGCAAGCCUGAUGCAGCCAUGCCGCGUGUAUGAAGAAGGCCUUCGGGUUGUAAAGUACUUUCAGUCGUGAGGAAGGUGUUAAGGUUAAUAACCUUAGCAAUUGACGUUAGCGACAGAAGAAGCACCGGCUAACUCCGUGCCAGCAGCCGCGGUAAUACGGAGGGUGCGAGCGUUAAUCGGAAUUACUGGGCGUAAAGGGCACGUAGGCGGUUAAUUAAGUUGGAUGUGAAAUCCCCGGGCUUAACCUGGGAAUGGCAUUCAAGACUGGUUAGCUAGAGUCUUGUAGAGGGGGUAGAAUUCCAUGUGUAGCGGUGAAAUGCGUAGAGAUGUGGAGGAAUACCGGUGGCGAAGGCGGCCCCUGGACAAAGACUGACGCUCAUGUGCGAAAGCGUGGGGAGCAAACAGGGAUUAGAUACC